rnacentral:lncRNA from 1 species
GGCCUUUCACAUUCGGGAAGCGUCGGGAUUAGGUGAAACACCCCGAGAACCGUCAGUUUGAGCCAGAUGGAAGCUGAGCUGAACAUAUUACGAUGGAUGAUGGAAACAUAAGACUAUCAAGAAAUCCAAAGUGGUAAUGGGCGAAGUUUAUUCAGCAUCCGGCAAUGGACUUAUCGUAGCUGGGGAAACAGGUGUUCCGAAUAAUAUCCUGGACGUUAUCAGGACACCUAUUUUAAAUAUAGGCCUGAAUUUUUUAAAGUAAUAUUUAAGGUGGUCCGUGAUAAUUAAAUAAAAUGCUUAAUUCAUGUGG